GAUGAACGCUGGCGGCGUGCCUAAUACAUGCAAGUCGAGCGAACAGACGAGGAGCUUGCUCCUCUGACGUUAGCGGCGGACGGGUGAGUAACACGUGGAUAACCUACCUAUAAGACUGGGAUAACUUCGGGAAACCGGAGCUAAUACCGGAUAAUAUAUUGAACCGCAUGGUUCAAUAGUGAAAGACGGUUUUGCUGUCACUUAUAGAUGGAUCCGCGCCGCAUUAGCUAGUUGGUAAGGUAACGGCUUACCAAGGCGACGAUGCGUAGCCGACCUGAGAGGGUGAUCGGCCACACUGGAACUGAGACCCGGUCAAGACUCCUACGGGAGGCAGCAGUAGGGAAUCUUCCGCAAUGGGCGAAAGCCUGACGGAGCAACGCCGCGUGAGUGAUGAAGGUCUUCGGAUCGUAAAACUCUGUUAUUAGGGAAGAACAAAUGUGUAAGUAACUAUGCACGUCUUGACGGUACCUAAUCAGAAAGCCACGGCUAACUACGUG
rnacentral:rRNA from 1 species